rnacentral:rRNA from 1 species
UGGCUCAGGACGAACGCUGGCGGCGUGCCUAAUACAUGCAAGUCGAACGGUCUUUCUAUGGAAGCUUGCUUCCACUGAGAAGAUAGUGGCGAACGGGUGAGUAACACGUGGGUAACCUGCCCAUAAGAGGGGGGAUAACAUCCGGAAACGGGUGCUAAUACCGCAUAGUUUUCUUGAUCGCAUGAUCGGGAAAGGAAAGACGGCCUUUGUGCUGUCGCUUAUGGAUGGACCCGCGGCGUAUUAGUUAGUUGGUGAGGUAACGGCUCACCAAGACGAUGAUACGUAGCCGACCUGAGAGGGUGAUCGGCCACAUUGGGACUGAGACACGGCCCAAACUCCUACGGGAGGCAGCAGUAGGGAAUCUUCCGCAAUGGACGAAAGUCUGACGGAGCAACGCCGCGUGAGUGAAAGAAGGUUUUCGGAUCGUAAAACUCUGUUGUCAGAGAAGAACAAGUUGGAGAGUAACUCGCUCCAGCCUUGACGGUAUCUGACCAGAAAGCCACGGCUAACUACGUGCCAGCCGCGGC